GCUUAUCAGAUCUCCGUCACGAUCGUAUCCGUAUCGCCUAUCGUAUCGAGUAUGCGUGUCCUAAUUGUGGACGCCUAUUUUGACCAUAGCGUAUAUUUUAUCGCGUGAGCCACAGUUCGGCCAAAAAUCACGUCCACACUUAUAGAUACUGUAUCUUGAUCGCGUAUCGUCUCGCCGAUCCUAGUAUCGAUCUAGUGAUUCCUUCAGUCAAGAACUCCCCGAGGCAGACAUCAAAAUUCGUCCACACUAGAUCAUUCUGCCGAUCAUGAUACGCGUAUCCGAUACGCGGUUUAUAGCGAUCGGGGUGUAUCAUGAAUCAUGAUACGAAGUGUAUCAUGAUCGCGAUCAUUUUGCGUUCACACUAGCGAACAUGAUACGAUUCGAUGCUACGCUGAUACG